GUUGUAUAGUCAAGUAAUUAAGUGCAUGUGGUGGAUGCCUUGGCAGUCAGAGGCGAUGAAAGACGUGAUAGCCUGCGAAAAGCUCCGGGGAGGCGGCAAAUAUCCUUUGAUCCGGAGAUGUCUGAAUGGGGGAACCCACCUACUUUAAGGUAGGUAUUGCAACAUGAAUACAUAGUGUUGCAAGGCGAACGAGGGGAAGUGAAACAUCUCAGUACCCUUAGGAAAAGAAAUCAAUUGAGAUUCCCUCAGUAGCGGCGAGCGAACGGGGAUCAGCCCAUUAAGUUAUGUGUGUUUUAGUGGAACGCUCUGGGAAGUGCGAACGUAGAGGGUGAUAUUCCCGUACACGAAAGGGCACACAUAAUGAUGACGAGUAGGGCGAGGCACGUGAAACCUUGUCUGAAUAUGGGGGGACCAUCCUCCAAGGCUAAAUACUCCUGACUGACCGAUAGUGAACCAGUACCGUGAGGGAAAGGCGAAAAGAACCCCUGUGAGGGGAGUGAAAUAGAUCCUGAAACCGCAUGCAUACAAGCAGUGGGAGCACCUUCGUGGUGUGACUGCGUACCUUUUGUAUAAUGGGUCAGCGACUUAUAUUCAGUAGCGAGGUUAACCGUAUAGGGGAGCCGUAGAGAAAUCGAGUCUUAAUAGGGCGUUUAGUUGCUGGGUAUAGACCCGAAACCAGGCGAUCUAUCCAUGAGCAGGUUGAAGGUUGGGUAACACUAACUGGAGGACCGAACCCACUGUCGUUGAAAAGCCAGGGGAUGACUUGUGGAUAGGGGUGAAAGGCUAAUCAAGCCUGGUGAUAGCUGGUUCUCCCCGAAAGCUAUUUAGGUAGCGCCUCGGACGAAUACCAUAGGGGGUAGAGCACUGUUUCGGCUAGGGGGUCAUCCCGACUUACCAAACCGAUGCAAACUCCGAAUACCUAUGAGUACUAUCCGGGAGACAGACUGCGGGUGCUAACGUCCGUAGUCAAGAGGAAAACAAUCCAGACCGCCAGCUAAGGCCCCAAAAUCAUAGUUAAGUGGGAAACGAUGUGGGAAGGCAUAGACAGCUAGGAGGUUGGCUUAGAAGCAGCCACCCUUUAAAGAAAGCGUAAUAGCUCACUAGUCGAGUCGGCCUGCGCGGAAGAUGUAACGGGGCUAAAACUAUGUGCCGAAGCUGCGGAUGUAUACUUUGUAUACGUGGUAGGGGAGCGUUCUGUAAGCCGAUGAAGGUGUGUUGAGAAGCAUGCUGGAGGUAUCAGAAGUGCGAAUGCUGACGUGAGUAACGACAAAACGGGUGAAAAACCCGUUCGCCGAAAGACCAAGGGUUCCAGUCCAACGUUAAUCGGGGCUGGGUGAGUCGACCCCUAAGGCGAGGCCGAAAGGCGUAGUCGAUGGGAAAAUGGUUAAUAUUCCAUUACUUCUGUGUAAUGCGAUGAGAGGACGGAGAAGGCUAAAUCAGCCUGGCGUUGGUUGUCCAGGUGAAAGGAUGUAGGCAUGUAUCUUAGGCAAAUCCGGGGUACUCUAUGCUGAGAUCUGAUAGCAAGCUGUACUUGUACAGCGAAGUGGUUGAUGCCAUGCUUCCAGGAAAAGUCUCUAAGCUUCAGUUACACAGGAAUCGUACCCGAAACCGACACAGGUGGUCAGGUCGAGUAGACCAAGGCGCUUGAGAGAACUCUGCUGAAGGAACUAGGCAAAAUGGUACCGUAACUUCGGGAGAAGGUACGCUGUUGUUGGUGAUGGAACUCGCUUCCUGAGCUGACGACAGCCGCAGAAACCAGGCCGCUGCAACUGUUUAUUAAAAACAUAGCACUCUGCAAACACGAAAGUGGACGUAUAGGGUGUGAUGCCUGCCCGGUGCUGGAAGGUUAAUUGAUGGGGUUAGCGUAAGCGAAGCUCUUGAUCGAAGCCCCAGUAAACGGCGGCCGUAACUAUAACGGUCCUAAGGUAGCGAAAUUCCUUGUCGGGUAAGUUCCGACCUGCACGAAUGGCAUAAUGAUGGCGGCGCUGUCUCCAGCAGAGGCUCAGUGAAAUCGAAAUCGCUGUGAAGAUGCAGUGUACCCGCGGCUAGACGGAAAGACCCCGUGAACCUUUACUGCAGCUUGACACUGAACUUUGACCUUACUUGUGUAGGAUAGGUGGGAGGCUUUGAAGCUGGAACGCUAGUUCCAGUGGAGCCGUCCUUGAAAUACCACCCUGGUAAUGUUGAGGUUCUAACUCUGUCCCGUGAUCCGGGACGAGGACCGUGUCUGGUGGGUAGUUUGACUGGGGCGGUCUCCUCCUAAAGAGUAACGGAGGAGUACGAAGGUGCGCUCAGCGUGGUCGGAAAUCACGCGUAGAGUAUAAAGGCAAAAGCGCGCUUAACUGCGAGACCCACAAGUCGAGCAGGUACGAAAGUAGGUCUUAGUGAUCCGGUGGUUCUGUAUGGAAGGGCCAUCGCUCAACGGAUAAAAGGUACUCUGGGGAUAACAGGCUGAUACCGCCCAAGAGUUCAUAUCGACGGCGGUGUUUGGCACCUCGAUGUCGGCUCAUCUCAUCCUGGGGCUGAAGCAGGUCCCAAGGGUAUGGCUGUUCGCCAUUUAAAG
rnacentral:rRNA from 1 species